rnacentral:rRNA from 1 species
CCUACGGGUGGCAGCAGUGAGGAAUAUUGGUCAAUGGACGAGCGUCUGAACCAGCCAAGUAGCGUGAAGGAUGACUGCCCUCUGGGUUGUAAACUUCUUUUAUAUGGGAAUAAAAUGUUCCACGUGUGGGAUUUUGUAUGUACCCUAUGAAUAAGGAUCGGCUAACUCCGUGCCAGCAGCCGCGGUAAUACGGAGGAUCCGAGCGUUAUCCGGAUUUGUUGGGUUUAAAGGGAGCGUAGGUGGAUUGUUAAGUCAGUUGUGAAAGUUUGCGGCUCAACCGUAAAAUUGCAGUUGAAACUGGCAGUCGUGAGUACAGUAGAGGUGGGCGGAAUUCGUGGUGUAGCGGUGAAAUGCUUAGAUAUCACGAAGAACUCCGAUUGCGAAGGCAGCUCACUGGACUGCAACUGACACUGAGGCUCGAAAGUGUGGGUAUCAAACAGGAUUAGAUACCCCUGUAGUC